UUUUCUCUCAAGAACAAGAAGAUGGUUUUCAAUUGGGGAUUUAAUUUCAAGAAUCUUUCCAUCAAUCUUCCAAGAAUCAUAAACUAAGGUAUGCGUGUGUUGAUUUAUGGAUUCCUUUCAUCCAUAAAGCUCAAAAAUAUCAUCUUCUAAAUUAUGUAUUAUGAUAUUUAUGAUGUUGAUGAUUGAUGAUCAUGUUGUUGAAAUUUGAUGAUUCCCAAGAUGGGAUCUUAGUAUGUUUGUAUAAAACUAUGGUGGUAUAUGAUGUAUAAACAUGUGAAAUUGGUGGUUGAAUACUUAAAAUCUUGAUGAAUCCACCUAUGCUAAAGAUUUGCAUGUAAGGUGUUUGUGAAAAUACCUAAGAAACUAGAAAUCAUGCUUUUAUGACAUAAUAGGUCCUAAAUGACUAGUCAAUGUUCUAUGCUUAUGUUCAACAUGAUUUCCAAGCAAAUUGUUACGCAUUGUUGUUGUGAUAUGGAAUGCUCAUGAAAUUGAAUUUAUGCAAUUAUUUACAUGUUAUAUGCAUUUCCUUUUCAUGAUAAAGAAUAUGAUAGCCAUGUGUAGUAUGAAAUCCCCUACUUAAGAUAUUGUGAAUUGUUGACUCUAUUCUUAUGAUCAAGUCAGUCAUGUGUGUCAGUUUUCUUCCAUCGAGUCCUAGGGGUACUUGUACCUGAAAAAUAUAGUCGUGUGCCUACAGCCAUGUUAUGUUGUCACAAUAUCCUCAGUUAAGCCAUGCUCAGUAAAAUUCAGUCAGUUAUGUGACUCAGAAAAUCUCAGUAAUCUCAUGAACUCAGUCAGUUACCAGAAUCAGUAGUAAGUCCAUCAAUCAAUGGGAAUUUAGUGUACUCAGUACCAGUACAGUUCUACUCAGUACUCAGUAACUUUAGUUCUUUCAGUCAGUCCUCAGAUCUCAGUAGUAUUCCAUCAGUCAACGGAACUCAUUAAAUUUAGCUUAGCUCAGCUAAGCAACACUAUCAGUCCAAUUAAUCAGUUCAGUUAGUCAUGCUUAGUGUCUAUUCAGAUGGGAGUAGAAGUUAGCACCGAGUAAAUCCAAGGAUGGGAACACACACUGUCAGAUAAGGGUGUGAUUCUUAGUAGUCGUCCUUGUGUUCCAGAACUAUGUAGCCAGCAUAGGUUGAGACAUCAACACUGCCAUCUUGAGGGUUGAUGAGGCGAACAUCUGUCGUUCUCAUUUGGGGACAUUGCCAGAUUUGAGGGCCACUCACAGCUUGUCCAUACCUGUGGCACGGUAUUGACACCCUUCCAAUCAGGGCCCAGUUCAGCUACAUUAGCAUACAUGGGGCAUGUCGAUUAAACUACUACCUCCCACAGUUUCAGUCAUUCAGUCUCAGUAAAAGAACUUAGAUAGUUCUUUAGAAUAUCAGGACUGUCAGAUACAGUCAACUCAAAUAUAGUACGGAACUCAAAUAGUUCCGUCAGAUUUAGGGAUGUCAGCUACAGUCACCCACAUUAUUAGUAUCUAAUAUCAAGGCUAUCAGAUAUAGUAACUCAUGUUAUCAGCUAUAUCAACUAUCACAAAUCUUUUGCCAGCCAUAUUAGAUUUCAGUAAACUCAUGCUAUCAGUAUUCAGUUUCAAGACUUUCAGAUACAGUCAAUUAGACCAGUCCUUCAUAAUCAGGACUGCCAGAAACAAUCAUUCCUUUAUCGGUAAUAAAGUAUCAGUCUUCUAGUAUUCAGUAAUACAUUAUCAGUUUCUCACUUAUUAAUGACUCAUAGAUCAAUAUCAAUAAACGCAGUCAUUUAGUAUCUCAAAAUCGAUAAACUCAUGUUGUCAGUAUUCAGACUCGGUAGUCAGUAUUGUCACGAGUUCAGUAGCAUUUACUUAUGUAUGUAUGUAUUCUCACGUUUAUAUCAGUCAGCAUUGUUCAUGCAUACAAACCCUUUGCAUUUAGCCUACUUCACUUGUAUACUCAGUAUUCUCAGUUGUACUGACACAUUCGUGCUAUGGUGCUUUCUUUUAUGUUACACCAUAGGUUCAGAUACACGAUUUCUAGAUCAGCAGUAGCAGUAGCAUCUCAGCUGUCAGAGUUCUAGCAGUGAGUCCUCAUUUCUCGAGGGCAUGAUCAUUACUUAUGUUAUGGUUUAUUUCAAUUCAGUUUUGCUAGUCGGAGUUAGUUGGGGACAUAUCCCAUCAACUCCCUAUUCAGACAAUCAUGUUAGAG
rnacentral:lncRNA from 1 species